rnacentral:rRNA from 1 species
UACGUAGGGUCCGAGCGUUGUCCGGAAUUACUGGGCGUAAAGAGCUCGUAGGUGGUUUGUCACGUUGUUCGUGAAAACCCACAACUCAAUUGUGGGCGUGCGGGCGAUACGGGCAGACUAGAGUACUGCAGGGGAGACUGGAAUUCCUGGUGUAGCGGUGGAAUGCGCAGAUAUCAGGGAGGGAACACCGGUGGGCGAAGGC